rnacentral:rRNA from 1 species
GCUGGAAUCGCUAGUAAUCGCGAAUCAGAAUGUCGCGGUGAAUACGUUCCCGGGUCUUGUACACACCGCCCGUCACACCAUGGGAGUCGGAUAUGCCCGAAGCCGGUGACCUAACCGCAAGGAAGGAGCCGUCGAAGGUGGAGCCGAUGACUGGGGUNAAGUCGUAACAAGGUACC